rnacentral:lncRNA from 1 species
CCUUCACAACGUUUAGUUUCCGUCACCAUAACGCUCCUCCCCUAUAAAUCCCCUCCUCAAUCUCUCUCUCUCUUCCACAAAUCACACCAACAAUCAUUCUCCCCUUACAAUCAUUCAUUCUUCAAUCCCACAAUCACAGACACUCAAAUCUCCGAAGAUGAUGAUGAAACUAUCUCUACUCUCUAUAUUGGUUUUCUCUCUGUCACAUUUCCAUGUGGUGCGAUCAGACAAUGCGCCGGCUCCUGCUCCUGCUCCCAAACUCGCAAACCCGCCUCCAACGCCUCCUCCCGCGGCUUCUCCGGCACUUACUCCGACCGCUUCUCCUCCGGCAUCCCCUCCGACUCACUCUCCUCCGCCUGCGGCUUCCCCAAAAUCCUCUCCACCAACUUCGACUCCUCCGGCCGCCGCGCCGACCGUCUCGCCGGCAACUCCUCCUCCGGCGUCACCCGUUUCUCCAGCGGCUAGCCCGUCCGCAAAUGGGUCGUCGCCGGUUCAAGCCCCGGCCACGCAGCCGCCGACUGUGGCCUCUCCCGUUGCGACUCCGGUGAGCGCUCCGAAGUCAAGCCCAUCUGGGGCUCCGCCGGUUGCAGAGACUCCCGAGACUGCGGCGACCCCAUCAUCGUCGAGCAUUCCUUCGUCUGCAACCCCGUCGGAGUCGCCGGCGAUGUUCCCGUCGAGCAGUAGCCCACCAAGUCCGACGCCGGCGGGUCUGUCGCCUGAGGGCGCGGCGGCGAGUCCCGCUAGUGAUGAUACGUCGGGUUCGGAGCCC